rnacentral:rRNA from 1 species
UACGAAGGGGGCUAGCGUUGUUCGGAAUUACUGGGCGUAAAGCGCACGUAGGCGGACUAUUAAGUCAGGGGUGAAAUCCCGGGGCUCAACCCCGGAACUGCCUUUGAUACUGGUAGUCUCGAGUCCGGAAGAGGUGAGUGGAAUUCCGAGUGUAGAGGUGAAAUUCGUAGAUAUUCGGAGGAACACCAGUGGCGAGGGCGGCUCACUGGUCCGGUACUGACGCUGAGGUGCGAAAGCGUGGGGAGCAAACAGG